rnacentral:lncRNA from 1 species
GACUAUAUAAAACGAUGUAAGGAAAUGGGGAAUAAUUAUAACAUUGACGAAGAAGGAAAUCAGGUCGUCUGUCGUCUGGAAUGACAUAAGCUGAACUAGGUGGAGAAGACAUUUAAAAAUAAGUUUCAGGUUAAGGCAAGCUUUAACGAUACAGAGUUAAAUCAGGUCGUCUGUCGUCUGGAAUGACAUAAGCUGAACUAGGUGGAGAAGACAUUUAAAAAUAAGUUUCAGGUUAAGGCAAGCUUUAACGAUACAGAGUUAAAUCAGGUCGUCUGUCGUCUGGAAUGACAUAAGCUGAACUAGGUGGAGAAGACAUUUAAAAAUAAGUUUCAGGUUAAGGCAAGCUUUAACGAUACAGAGUCGAGAACCAUUAAUAUAAGGCAAAAACAACGAGGGAUGGUGGCUAAGAUGGAACUAAGUAAAGCAUAUUCGCAUCCACCAGGAAUAUCCAAUCUCAAAAAACAAGAUGUAGACUCUCACUAUGUAAGGCUAAUGUUAUUCAAGAGCACUAUCAUAGGUUUUAUGCAGAUUUACACGUGACCAAUGCAACAAUAGAAGACGAACAGACAGAUUAUAAUAUGCAACACUUUGAUUAAGUGUUAACACUAAAAAUUUGUAAUAAAUAAGUACAAUCUUAAA